rnacentral:tRNA from 1 species
GUAGGCAUGGUGUAAGAGUAGCACGGCAGAUUGUGGCUCUGCUGGUGUGGGUGCAAGUCCCACUGCCUACCCCA